rfam:Callithrix jacchus chromosome 4, whole genome shotgun sequence
AGCUUUGCGCAGUGGCAGUAUCGUAGCCAAUGAGGUUUAUCUGAGGCACGAUUACUGCUAAUUGAAAAUAAAUAUCAUAAUGUAAGUCAGUAGAAUGAAAAUAAGUAUAAGAAAUUGUCCUUUCUGAUAUUAAAUAUUUUACUACAUUCACAUCGAAGUAUG